AUACAAUUAUAAAAAGGUGAAAGUAAGUUGGUUAUGAAUUAUGGAAGUGAUGAAAGUAAUUGCUAACGGGCAGCGACAAGAAUGACCAAAAAAUCAAGAAAAAUCGGAAAAUCAAACACUAAACGUCCGAAAAAUGUAUGGACGGUAAAUAAAACAAAUAGAAAAUGAUAUAAUGGACGAUGGGACAAAUAAUAAAUAAUAUGUUGGGGCCGGGCCUGAGGUCCAUUGCAUACUCGUCGUCCGAGAGGUCUGGUCCCUUGGCGGCUUCCUCAGGGACGAUGUUGUUUGGUGUCUUGUUUACGUAUCGUGAUCUUGUUGACGAUAAAAGAAACCCACUCCAAACAAAACACACUCUUAAUAAUAGUUCAAAAUCUUGAAUAUGAAUUGCAAAGCAGGAGUGUUACAAAAAAAAGGAUUGCAAAGCAGGAAAGGCGAUAUCACUCAUAAAAAAAAUACUGAACUACUUAGCUUUUUAUUUUGAUAAGAUGAAUCACUUUGUUAUUCAAUAGGAAAAGGAGAAAUAUUCCAAAGCCCAACAGUUUGAAUUACAAAAAUAACUUAUUAAUUUUACUAGAGUUAGUUUCAAUGAUACUAUAUUUUACAAUGAAAAAUAGAGUGAUGAACAAAAAGCUAAACAAAUUACUCUAUAUAUAGUACGCUAUAUUCUACUCUAUAUUUAGAGUAAAUUAUAUUUUAUUCUAUUAUAGAAUAGAAAAUAGAAUACUAUUAAAUCAUUUUUUACUCUAAAGUUUAAAUUCUAUUUUAGAGUAAAAAAUAAAAUAAUGUCGAAGAUGCCCAUAUACAAAUCUUUUUUUGGGUCAAAAUGCAAGUCUUUAUUUACCUGAACACAACAAUAUAGAGCCGAGCUGAAGGGCAAGACUUUUGUACGUGAUCGUAGUAUGUGACGUCGUCUCGUCCACGCUGCAUUGAAGAGUACCUACGCACUAAGAUCGUUUUUAGAAAAGAAAGAACGUUUUGAUUCGAGGCGGAUCCCUUUUCGAAGAUGCCCAUAUACAAAUCUUUUUUUGGGUCAAAAUGCAAGUCUUUAUUUACCUGAACACAACAA
rnacentral:lncRNA from 1 species